AACGAACGCUGGCGGCAUGCCUAACACAUGCAAGUCGAACGAGAUCUUCGGGUCUAGUGGCGCACGGGUGCGUAACGCGUGGGAAUCUGCCCUUGGGUUCGGAAUAACUUCGGGAAACUGAAGCUAAUACCGGAUGAUGACGUAAGUCCAAAGAUUUAUCGCCCAAGGAUGAGCCCGCGUAGGAUUAGCUAGUUGGUGAGGUAAAGGCUCACCAAGGCGACGAUCCUUAGCUGGUCUGAGAGGAUGAUCAGCCACACUGGGACUGAGACACGGCCCAGACUCCUACGGGAGGCAGCAGUGGGGAAUAUUGGACAAUGGGCGCAAGCCUGAUCCAGCAAUGCCGCGUGCAGGAUGAAGGCCUCGGUUGUAAACUAGCUUUGUUACGGUAACGAAACGGUAGAGCUCU
rnacentral:rRNA from 1 species